GGAAGGCUACGGGUGGCCUCCAGGUCUCCUUGGAAGAUACACCUUUAAAUUCCAACGAGCUAAAGCCAUUUUACACAGUAUGCUGGAUGAAUGCAUGUUCAGAUGUUAAGAUCCACAGAUGAAAGGGACUAGGUCUCCUUAACCGUAUCUGGGGCAGUGGAAAGAAGCCAUUCACAGAAAUUUAGCUUUUAGAGAAAUAGCAACUCCUGUGUUGGGCAUUUGUAAAGUUUACAGGAGCAUCAUGACCUGACCUAUGAGGAGAGCUGCAAGAACAAUGGAGUGGGACACUGAGAGAAGCAACAACCAGCUACACCGCCUCCCAUCUAGUAGAAAAGAAGCCUGACCUCUAACUCA